AUACUUAACUGGCAAGGGAGAUACUAUGACAUGAAGUUGGUUUCCCCAGGGCGAGGCUCAUCCAUUGCACUCUGGAUUUGCUGACCCACGCAAUUUCCCCAAAUAUGGGAAACUCAACUGCAUUAUUUGUGGUAGUGGGGGAACUGUGUUCAGGCUCUCCCCUG